rnacentral:rRNA from 1 species
GACGAACGCUGGCGGCGUGCUUAACACAUGCAAGUCGAACGGAAAGGCCCUGCUUUUGUGGGGUGCUCGAGUGGCGAACGGGUGAGUAACACGUGAGUAACCUGCCCUUGACUUUGGGAUAACUUCAGGAAACUGGGGAUAAUAUCGGAUAGGAGCUACUGCUGCACGGUGGGGGUGGGAAAGUUUCGGUUGUUGGGGAUGGACUCGCGGCUUAUCCGCUUGUUGGUCGGGUAGUGGCUUACCAAGGCUUUGACGGGUAGCCGGCCUGAGAGGGUGACCGGCCACAUUAGUACUGAGAUACGGCGCAGUCUCCUACGGUAGGCAACAGUGGAGAGUAUUGCACAGUAGGCGGAAGCCUGAUGCAACAGCGCCGCGUUCGGGAUGACGUCCUUCGGGUUAUAAACCGCUUUCUCCUGUGACGAAGCGUGAGUGACGGUAAUGGGUAAGGAAGCACCGGCUAACUACGUG